UUUGUUUGUUCUGUUUGCAUGAUGGAUUUACUGUUGCAUUGCCAUGAUCUUUGUGUGUUUCUGUGUGGAAUUUGUUUGCCAUGAUGUUGCCUGCAUGAGGAUGAACAUAUGAGUUGUUGUUGCAUAAACCCUAAGGGUUUUGAACCCAGAAAACAUGAGCAUCGAUUGGUUCUGUUUACUGUUACAUUGAAACAACCAAUUACAACAUUUC
rnacentral:lncRNA from 1 species